rnacentral:tRNA from 1 species
GCUAGGGUAGCAAAAAGGUUACUGCGGUAGGUUUAGGACUUGUCAUUGGGGGUUCGAGUCCCUUUCUUAGUU